UUUGACAGAUGAGCGGUUUUAUGUGAGUGAAGCUUUAGCAUUGAAAUUGGUUUCUUUCUUUCUCGUUCGACAGCCAACUAAAUAUGCAGCAAAAGAAAAGAGAACCUUUGCAAGCUGUGCAAGUCUUUGGCAAAAAGAAAACAGCCACUGCUGUUGCCCAUUGCAAACGCGGUCAUGGAUUGAUCCGUGU